rnacentral:tRNA from 1 species
GGAUUGUGGCUCAUUGGUAGAGUGCUCGCCUAGCACGGGAGGGACCUAGGUUUGAUCCUCAGCACCA